GUUGAGGUCAGGAAAGCGAUUCCGCUCCCUGAAGACCAACACAGAGAGACUGAGGAGGAGCUUCUUCCCGCAGGCGAUACGGUCUCUCAAUCACACCACCACACAGUACUGACCCACACAUAUGGUUCUUACACACACACUGGACUUUCUGGACUUUGGUUUUGCACAACACUGGUCACUAUAUUCUUCAUUUCCAGUUAAUACUUGUACAGCUGCUGUUAUUGUGUAUAUAUUUAUUUAUAUUUAGAUUUCUUCAUACAUUCUUAUAUAGUUCUAUAUUGUGUAUUGUGUAUUUUGUUGUACAGUUAUUUUAUUUUCAACUUUAAUUUAUAUAUUUUAUCUUAUUCUUCCCAGUUAAAUUUACCCUUCAUUCUAAUUUGUGUUGUACAGUUAUUUCAUUUUUAACCUUAAUUUAUAUUUUAUUCCUUCCUAGUUAAAUUUACCCUUUUUAAUUUUUCAUAUUUAUUUCCUAUCUUAUUCAUAGCCUUUCCUUUUUUUGUUUUCUUUAGGUCACGAGCAGUUGUCCAAGCAUUUCACUACAUAUCGUACUGUGUAUGACUGUGUACGUGACAAAUAAAAAAAUUUGAAAUUUGAAUUUGAGAUUUAUCAAGGGCUCACCAGUAUUUAAGGUACAAAAUCUCUCUUGUCUGGUUUUAUUGUAUUAUUUUAUUCUAGUCUUUGAUUUUAUUUCUUUCUUUUUUCAUUUUUUUUUUAAACACAGUUAAUAGUGUUAACACCAAAAUAAAAUCAGGGAAGAGAGAGAGAGGAAGACAGACAGCAGCAGGAGGCUUGUGUUAACAUUUACUUCUAAGCAGCUCCAGCCUGUCUUCAGUAGAACAUUUACACUGUAUUGAAAUCAUCCCAAACGCUGUGGCAGCUUAUUUUAGCUUGGCAGCACUUAUCUCAUAGAAGGUAAUUUUUAGUAAGAUGAUGUGUCUCUUAUCUGUACGUUUGGAGCACUGGAUUCUCAGAGUCCUGUGAUUUAAUAUUCACAACACAGACGGGCAUAAAUGCUUCUAAUCCGACCCGGGAGUUCUCUUUGCUUUCAGAAAAUGAACAUAAAUAUUCAGGUCGCUGAUUCAGUGAUUAAGAAAUAUUAGAGUGGCUGACAAAAACACUGGAGCACUAUAUGUUUUCAGGAUUGCAAAAACCAGCCUCGAACUUGCUUCUUAUUUGUGGGAGUUGAUCUUUUUCAUGGCUAGUCCCUCUUACAGAGAUGUUAUUUCCCCAUAUCUUCUAUUCAGGUUUUGAAUGUAUGCUUGGAAAAAGCUAGCCUAUCUAAGACAGGCAUCUCGGAAGAAAGACAGCAUAUAUUAUAUCCUCUAAAUUUGCCCCUUUAUAUUCACAUCUUCUCUUAGCUCUUUGCAUAUGCCUUCA
ensembl:lncRNA